UACGUAGGGUGCGAGCGUUAAUCGGAAUUAUUGGGCGUAAAGCGCGCGUAGGCGGCUACCUAAGUCGGAUGUGAAAGCCCCUGGCUCAACUGGGGAAGUGCACCCGAAACUGAGUAGCUAGAGUACGAAAGAGGGUCGCGGAAUUCCCGGUGUAGAGGUGAAAUUCGUAGAUAUCGGGAGGAACACCGGUGGCGAAGGCGGCGACCUGGGUCGAUACUGACGCUGAGGCGCGAAAGUGUGGGGAGCGAACAGG
rnacentral:rRNA from 1 species